rnacentral:rRNA from 1 species
UGGGGAAUAUUGCACAAUGGGCGAAAGCCUGAUGCAGCAACGCCGCGUGAGUGAUGAAGGCCUUCGGGUUGUAAAGCUCUGUCUUUUGGGACGAUAAUGACGGUACCAAAGGAGGAAGCCACGGCUAACUACGUGCCAGCAGCCGCGGUAAUACGUAGGUGGCAAGCGUUGUCCGGAUUUACUGGGCGUAAAGGAUGCGUAGGCGGAUUUUUAAGUGAGAUGUGAAAACCCUAAGCUUAACUUGGGGACUGCAUUUCAUACUGGAAAUCUAGAGUGCGGGAGAGGAGAAUGGAAUUCCUAGUGUAGCGGUGAAAUGCGUAGAGAUUAGGAAGAACACCAGUGGCGAAGGCGAUUCUCUGGACCGUAACUGACGCUGAGGCAUGAAAGCGUGGGUAGCAAAACAGGAUUAGAUACCCUGGUAGUCCACGCCGUAAACGAUGAGUACUAGGUGUAGGAGGUAUCGACCCCUUCUGUGCCGCAGUUAACACAAUAAGUACUCCGCCUGGGAAGUACGAUCGCAAGAUUAAAAAC